UACGUAGGGUGCGAGCGUUAAUCGGAAUUACUGGGCGUAAAGCGUGCGCAGGCGGUUUUGUAAGACAGGCGUGAAAUCCCCGGGCUCAACCUGGGAACUGCGUUUGUGACUGCAAGGCUAGAGUACGGCAGAGGGGGGUGGAAUUCCACGUGUAGCAGUGAAAUGCGUAGAGAUGUGGAGGAACACCAAUGGCGAAGGCAGCCCCCUGGGUCGAUACUGACGCUCAUGCACGAAAGCGUGGGUAGCAAACAGGAUUAGAUACCCUGGUAGUCCACGCCCUAAACGAUGUCAACUAGGUGUUGGGUGGGUAAAACCAUUUAGUACCGGAGCUAACGCGUGAAGUUGACCGCCUGGGGAGUACGGCCGCAAGGUUAAA
rnacentral:rRNA from 1 species